rnacentral:rRNA from 1 species
GUCCUUGCCGUAAACGAUGUAUACUUGAUGUAAUUGGGCUCAACCCUGAUUGUGUCGAAGCUAACGCGAUAAGUAUACCGCCUGGGGAGUACGCUCGCAAGGGUGAAACUCAAAAGAAUUGACGGGGGCCCGCACAAGCAGUGGAGCAUGUGGUUUAAUUCGAUGCAACGCGAAGAACCUUACCCAGGCUCGAAAUGUAAUGGCUAGUACCAGAGAUGGUAUGUUCCGCAAGGACUGUUAUAUAGGUGCUGCAUGGCUGUCGU